AUUGAACGCUGGCGGUAGGCUUAACACAUGCAAGUCGAACGGCAGCACAGUAAGAGGUUGUUCUUACGGGUGGCGAGUGGCGGACGGGAGCGGAAUACAACCGAUCCUACUUUAUCGUGAGUGAUAAGGGAAGCAAACGUACCCUACUACCGCUUUCUACCUUCGGGUGAAGGCAGGGGAUCUUCCGACCUUAGCGGACGCAAUGAGACGAUGUCGGAUUUGCUAGUUGGCGGGGUAAAGGCCCACCAAGGCAACGAGCCGUAGCUGGUCUGAGAGGAUGACAGGCAACACUGGAACUGAGACAGGGUCCAGACUCCUACGGGAGGCAGCAGUGGGGAAUAUUGGACAAUGGGCGCAAGCCUGAUCCAGCAAUACCGCGUGGGUGAAGAAGGCCUUCGGGUUGUAAAGCCCUUUUGUUGGGAAAGAAAAGCAGCAGGUUAAUACCCCGCUAUUCUGACGGUACCCAAAGAAUAAGCACCGGCUAACUACGUG
rnacentral:rRNA from 1 species